GACGAACGCUGGCGGCGUGCCUAAUACAUGCAAGUUGAGCGAUGAAGAUUGGUGCUUGCACCAAUUUGAAGAGCAGCGAACGGGUGAGUAACGCGUGGGGAAUCUGCCUUUGAGCGGGGGACAACAUUUGGAAACGAAUGCUAAUACCGCAUAACAACUUUAAACAUAAGUUUUAAGUUUGAAAGAUGCAAUUGCAUCACUCAAAGAUGAUCCCGCGUUGUAUUAGCUAGUUGGUGAGGUAAAGGCUCACCAAGGCGAUGAUACAUAGCCGACCUGAGAGGGUGUUCGGCCACAUUGGGACUGAGACACGGCCCAAACUCCUACGGGAGGCAGCAGUAGGGAAUCUUCGGCAAUGGACGAAAGUCUGACCGAGCAACGCCGCGUGAGUGAAGAAGGUUGUCGGAUCGUAAAACUCUGUUGGUAGAGAAGAACGUUGGUGAGAGUGGAAAGCUCAUCAAGUGACGGUAACUACCCAGAAAGGGACGGCUAACUACGUG
rnacentral:rRNA from 1 species